rnacentral:rRNA from 1 species
GACGAACGCUGGCGGCGUGCUUAACACAUGCAAGUCGAACGGAAAGGCCCUGCUUUUGUGGGGUGCUCGAGUGGCGAACGGGUGAGUAACACGUGAGUAACCUGCCCUUGACUUUGGGAUAACUUCAGGAAACUGGGGCUAAUACCGGAUAGGAGCUCCUGCUGCAUGGUGGGGGUUGGAAAGUUUCGGCGGUUGGGGAUGGACUCGCGGCUUAUCAGCUUGUUGGUGGGGUAGUGGCUUACCAAGGCUUUGACGGGUAGCCGGCCUGAGAGGGUGACCGGCCACAUUGGGACUGUGAUACGGCCCAGACUCCUACGGGAGGCAGCAGUGGGGCAUAUUGCACAAUGGGCGGAAGCCUGAUGCAGAAACGCCGCGUGCGGGAUAACGGCCUUCUGGUUGUAUUCCGCUUUCGCCUGUGACGAAGCGUGAGUGACGGUAAUGGGUAAAGAAGCACCGGCUAACUACGUG